CUCAGACCUCUACUGGAGUUGCAGUUCCUACAGAAGAAGUGGCUGGCAUCAUCCUGCCAGCUAUCAUCACCAUGAUCAUCAUUCUUGCUGUCCUGCUGUUACUUGGAAUUGUGUGCUUGAGCAAGAAGAAUUCUGAAAUGACUGCAGAUACACGGGACACAAUUAAUGAC